rnacentral:lncRNA from 1 species
AUGAAAAUAAAACCUUGGGCAGUAGAGCACCAAUUCAGGGAAUUGGAAGGAAGGGUAGAGCCCGUGUCUCACAGAGACUUCAGAAGAUUCCAGAAGUUGGAGCAGUUUCCUGGGAUUUUUAAUGGCUCCCACCACAGAUAUCUGCAGAGGAUGCUUUUUCCUAGCUUUAUAGGUAAGCACAAACUUUGAAGCACUGAACAAAAGUAACAGCCUAUGGGUGCUGUGGAUGCUGACUAAGAUAGUAGGAAUCAGCUCUUCCCAGGGGCUUUUUUGCAUGGCAGCUUUUUUGUGAAUGAUUGUCUUUGCUCAUUCACAACAUAGUCAUGCACUGCCACAAUGGUAAAAAUCAUGCACAUCUUGAAGAACACAGGAACAUUAGCAACUUGGGAAGAGAGCUAUGCCAUUUACAAUGAAUUCCACUGCAAGCCAAAGGAACCUUGGCUCAGGCUAGCUUAAGAACAAGAAAUUAAUGAUCUCCUAUACAAGUUGUCCAGUAGUGGAAUGGGUUUAGAGUUGGUUGACUCAGAGGCUAAUCAAAUUCCCAGGUUGUUUCUUUCUCUCUUCUACCAUACACAAUGAAGACCUCACCUUCAUGCUUACUAGAAGUUGCUUCAGCAGUCCCAGAGUUUCAUGCACACUUGAUGCUGCCUCCCAAAGAAAGAACCCUGUUUUGUUUUGUUGCUGUUGUUGUUUUGUAGCUCUCUUAGAAGCCGUUCAGCAGAUUCUUCUCCUAUUUUAUUGACUAGAAUUAGCAAAACCAUGAGGCCCACUCCUGGGACUGGGUAUGGUAGGGAGACAGCUUCCUCUGAGGAAUGUGGUAGGCAGUGGGUGGGGGGAAUGGAUCCCUGAACACAGUCCAGAAUCUAUAGGGAAGGAUAAAGGAUGAAAACCCCCAAACUCCUAAGCAAGAAAAUUUAAGUGCUGCUGUGGAAGAUUCCUAUACCAAAGCUAAUGCAUCAGUGGAUUUGAUUUCCAUCUCAUUCUCUAGCCUUUAAGAACCACACUGGAAAAGACUGGACAAGACAGUGCCUGUGAGAGCUUAAGAUCUCCUAGUGUCACACAUUCAGAGUUUUAAAAAUAGUUCCUGAGCUUUACUUUCAGUAGAAUCUGCACUUAACAUUCUUACAUCUGCAGAUAGACUUCAAGUAUUUAGAUUUCAGGGUUAGGACAGAGACUAUGAAAUCCAUACCUGAUUCAAUUUGUGAAAUUUAACUCUUAGAACAAUUAUUGGGUCCUGAAAGUUGCACUUCCACUAAUCCCUAAAGUUCUGAAUGUACCAGUCUUAGGUGAAAUAGUGAUGAAUAAUAAUUUUAUUAGGGAAAAUUAGACUCCCAACUUUCCAGGAAUGCAACAUGCUUUUUGUUCAGCUACUUUGUUAUCUCCUUUGUUUAAGAUAGAAUAGAAGGUUCUCAGAAAAUGAUUGCUAGAACUCUUCUUCCUAACUUCCAGGUUUUGUUUGAAUAUUUGGGAGAUUUAGACUUUCAUGGGGCUGCCUAAGUAGUGCCAUCUGUGAUCAGGAGAGGGCAGCAAAGAGUCAUUUGAGUCAGGCCUCUGAGGGCCAGUCUGCCAGUCUGCCCAGGAAUCAAUUAAGGAACCAAGGGAAAAUCCCAGCCUCAGUUGAUACCAGCAGAAAUCAGGGAAGAUUUAGAGCUAAAGCAGAGUCCAAAGCAAUGUGUAUUGCAACAGGGUUGAGGUUAAAUGGUGCUAGAAUCCAGGAGGAAUAAUCGCAUCAGGAGGGGCUUAUAUUUCCAAAACAAAAACUGGUGUUAGCAAAAUGAAAACUGGCAAAUUUGAGUCAGAUAGAAGUCAGGCCAGAGGGAUUGGGUUGGAUCAGAGAGUUAUAAAAGGUUAAUUAUAUUGAUGGUUUGAGGUGAGAUGCAACAUUUUUAUUUUAAAAAUACUGCGGUGCCUGGAUGACUCAGUGGGUUAAGGGUCUGACUCUUAAAUUUGGCUCAGGUCAUGAUCCCAGGGUUGUGGGACCCAGCUCCACGUUGGGCUCUGCAUUGAACAUGGAGCCUGCUUAAGAUUCUCUCUGCCCCAUUCCCCUGCUCACACACUCUCUCUCUAAAAUAAAAAAAUAAAUAAAAAUAACA